AACAUAUAAAACUCUGCAGCAACAAUCUACUGCAGUAAUCUUGUUAUUCACUUUAAAGUUAAGACUUCCGGCAACAACACCUCUGGCACUCUAUAGAUUCCCUAGAUGUGACAAGCGAAGUAUAAAAGGAUACUUAAGACUCCUUGAAAGUAGUAACUUUGUUUAUUUAUUUGUGUUGAAAGUAGUAACUUUUAGACUCCUUGAAUACUUAAAGAAUAUUUUGUUGUUGAUGACAGUGUUGAAUGUUUUAAACUAAAUUGUGGAUUGUUAAUUCAAUGUUGAAUGUUCUUACUUUUUGUUAUUUGAAAAUCAAGUUCAUUUGAUGA